GGUGGACACACCGGAAAUCCCCGAGACUCCGUCGGUCGAGGAGAUCGACUCGGAAGGGUGACCGUGGCCUCGCCCUUUUAUCCUUCUUUAUUUUUCUCUUAGAAUACUUGUAACCGGGCUUCGGCCUGGCUUUGUAAUCUCCUUUUGAUCUUGAAUGAAAUCAGUCUCAAACCUCUUUUUUCCUUGCCUGUUUUUCUUUCUUUCAUGUG
rnacentral:lncRNA from 1 species